GGUGUCGUAGCCAAGUGGUAAAGGCGCUGCAUCUGAACCUGCCUUAGGUAGGUUUAUCGUGAAUGUUGCAGUGGAGUAAUCCUCGUGGGUUCGAAUCCCACCGAUACCA